UACGUAGGGGGCAAGCGUUGUCCGGAAUCAUUGGGCGUAAAGCGCGCGUAGGCGGCCUCAUAAGUCCGUUGUGAAAGUCAAAGGCUCAACCUUUGAAAGCCGAUGGAUACUGUGAGGCUAGAGUACGGAAGAGGCGAGUGGAAUUCCUGGUGUAGCGGUGGAAUGCGCAGAUAUCAGGAGGAACACCAAUAGCGAAGGCAGCUCGCUGGGACGUUACUGACGCUAAGGCGCGAAAGCGUGGGGAGCGAACAGG
rnacentral:rRNA from 1 species